UCCAGAAGUGUGAAGGACAAGCCAUGCCAGGCCAUUUGCACUGGAGAUGCAUUUAGCAUAGCACUGUCUGCAAAAGAGGCACAGAAGGAGUUCUGAGCAGCAGCACAACCAGAUAACAUCCAAAGGAGUGCUGGGAUCCCUCUGCCAGUGCUCACCCUGUGAUUUCCCUGCUGAAGUGUGAAUAGCACAGGAGGAGAUUGAAGUCCUCUCUGAACAUUUGAUUCUUCUCAGGAGCAGCUGAACAUGCUGUUGACACACCACUAGGCGUGAAUUCUUCCACCAGAUGAGGAACAUUGUAGAAAUCCAGAAGAUCAAAGGCAGCAGUUAGGACAGCAGAUGAUUUCAGAGCUGUUGUGCCCCUGAACCGCAGCUGGAUAGGACUGAAGGUGCAGCCUCAUGGGCACACAGAGCUUCCCCCACAAAAUAUCAGCCUUGGCUAUGCUGAAGGAAUUCCUGAGAUCUGUGGUCUCCAGUUCUCCUUGAUGGACACACAAAAGCUGGCUCCGAAGACACUGAGCUCCUGCACAGACAGAAACACUUCUCCUCCCUGGAUUUAUGUGUCAUAAAAAACCAGAGGGCUGUAUUUGUCCAAAGAGCAAUUAUGAACAGGGAUAUGUCUAGUAUUGUCAGCCAUACUAGACAAUCCAGGGAUGAAAUAUCACUUCCAGAAUGGCUGGAACAUCCAGUGCCUCUUCCUUGAUCCCACAACAAAGGCUGAAAAUAGUCUGCUUUCUUGAGUACAAACAUUCCUCCACUAAUGCAGACACACAGAUGCAGGAAGUUAAGCACCCUGAGACAACUGCUGCUAUUUGUGCGUGACAGUCCCAAUACAUCUUCGAAAAUAAUGGAAAUACCAAACCUCUGUCAGAGAGGUUUAGGCAGAAAUUUCAUCAAUUCCACAGCAUUCACCACAUACUUUUAGCUGAAGUGAAUUAAUAAUGUGAAGCAUUCAAUGUCAUGGGAAGGGCCGGGCUUCUGUUGUGUUGGGAAGGAGCUGACAAGAAAGAUGGAGAGAGAAUGUUUACAAGGGCUGGAGGGACAGGACACAGGGAAUGGCUCCCAGUGCCAGAGGGCAGGGAUAGAUGGGAUAUUGGGAAGGAAUUGUUCCCUGGCAGGGUGGGCAGGCCCUGGCACAGGGUGCCCAGAGCAGCUGUGGCUGCCCCUGGAUCCCUGGCAGUGCCCAAGGCCAGGUUGGACACUGGGGCUGGGAGCAGCCUGGGACAGGGGAAGGUGUCCCUGCCUAUGGCAGGGGUGGCACUGGAUGGGCUUUAAGGUCCAUUCCAACCCAAACCAUUCUGUGGUUCUGUAUUAUUCGGCCCAGAAACCUUUAACUUCAGUGAUCAGGCACAUCCGUGACCCACAUCCCAAGCUAUUAAUGCAUUAAGUGAGUUUACUCUGAAUUGUUGAUGUAAUUUUAGGAAAAAACCUCCCAUGUUUAUCCAAGAAAUCCAAAAGGAAAAAAUAGAACUCACAUGAAAAGCCAAACUGCGAAAUCUGCAUUUGAUUUAUCCUAUUUUUUUUCCCCUUUGGUUUAAUUCCAUUGACUUGAUCAUGGGUAGGUACAAUUGUGAAGAUCAUACAGAUCUCAUCCACCCAAAUUCUCUCUGUGCAAAUUGGGAAUGAUGAAUAAAGUCUACAACAAAAAAUGGCUUUGCUGAUAAAUAAUCUUGCACAUAUUUCCUUGUAGUUAAUUACCUUUCCUACAGUUUUAACAGAAAACUUGCUGUUCAUUAAGUUUUGAACAGCAGCUCCACCAGUGGGUGCAAUAUUUAUGUUUCUUGCAACCAUGUCCUAGAAUCAAUACUGCCACUUUUAAAUGCAAAAGACCUGUAUUGAAACAGAGAUGAGAAUGUAAGUACAAAAUCCCCCAGAACACAGCCCUUGAUCUCUUUGGUGGGUUUAAAAAGGGUUUCAGAUCCUCUCUUGAAACAUUCACCAAAGUUGGGUCAGAAGAAAUCAAAGUAAUUUAGAUCCAAUCUCUCUUCAAAAAUGAAAUGAGCAGAAGUUUUAUUAAAAGGAAAUGAAGAGGAAAUUGAACUUUCAUAUUUCAUGGUGCAAUUGUGGUGACAGAAAACAAUAUUCAUUGAUAGGAAGUUUACAAGAUAGUUAUUUAUAUGUCUGCUGCUCUGCUGUGGGAGUUUUUUCACAGUGAAGGGCAUAUAAUUUUUAAGGAUAGAGUGGAUCUGUAGCAGAGUUACCUGUGGAUAUUCCAGUAGUAUUCUGAAUACAAGACUUUUUCCAUGCUUAAGAUGAGAAAGCACAAAUUUUAAUUGAAAUGUGUACUUUAUGAGGAAUUUCAACAGGAGAUGCUUAUGGAUAAUGUAAAUUUCACCUGCAUAAAAGCUGCAUAGUCCUGUAGCUUUCUGAGAUGGAAAAACUAAAUCACUUGAACUGAAAUCAUAGGGCUGAGGAAGAUUUGGAAUGUAAUGGAGAUGCCAUCAUUCUGUGCAGCAGAACAACCACGAGGACAAGGAGAAAACAUGCAGCCAGGCACAGGUGGGACUCACAAGUUAGCACAGAGGAAAGAGAGAUGUACAUUUAGUUCCUAAAGGUGAUGUUUCCACAAUUCAUCAUGGGAGGGGAAGCAAUGGCUUGAGAAGAUGAUUCCUGUUCAGGGGUUGCUCCUCAUGAUUUUUGAACUCAGUUAAGUCACCUCCCUUUCCACCCCCUCCAAAGUAAACUGCUGUGACCAACUUUACUUGAACACUAUCAUAGGUGUUUAGGCCCAACUUUUGACAAAUGUCCAAUAAUUUUGAUCUCCACCAAUUCAGGCUACUGAAGCAGUACUUAAAUGCAGCACAUCAAUUAAAGUGAUUAUUAAAAAGUGGCUUGGGUGACUCAGUCUCAGCAUUUUUGAAGCCAACACCUGAAAAGAUUGGCAUCCUAGAGGGAAAUGUAAGCUACUAUUUUUUCCUCUAACUGCAAUUGAGCAUAGCCUAAAAAUGUUCAUCAAUGACAGGUGAAAGGAAUGACAUUUCAUUCUCAUAGUUUCUGCAAUGCAAACGUAGGUAAAGCUCUCAGUUUAGAAAAAAAGAAUUAGUUUUAAAGUUUCCCAGUGUGAAAAAAAAGUUCAGAGCUACACCUUUGCUGUAAAAUAUUGCCUAAGAAAAUUAGUCAAAAUAUUCUUUUAUGAGAAAAGAGAGAAAUCCAUUCUGAGUCACACAAUUCAAAGGAAAAUAAUGUGCUUUCCCUAAUACACAUCUAUAACAUCAUUACAGCUGACAGAGAAAAGGAAGAAUCUAUAUGUAAUCAAAAUUUAACAUUGCAAACCAAUGUUCUUAAAGCUUCCAUUUUAAGUGCGUACUUUGAAAAUGUUCUUUCUGUUCAGCAGAAGAAUUUUCAAAUACAUGGAAUACUUUUAAUACACCUAUGAAAAAAAAUAACCCUCUACUUCAAAGCUGUUCCAGCUCAUACAAUAAAUAGAUUGUCGUGCCUGAGAGUUGAUGGUGAGUGGUGGAAAGGAAGAACUGAAUUUUGAUUUUUUUGUUAUAAAAAUAUAGAGAAAAAUGCUGCAUGAUGUUACUAACCUGCAUUAAGACAAUUGUGAGUUAAUUACAUCUAUAGCCACUAUGAAAAUCUUGGAAACACUGUCUCACGGAUUUGUCCAUUUAGCAGAUGGGUUUGGAUAAGUGGAGGACAUCAAGAAUUACAUCAAAAAAUGACAUUAAAACAAGACUUGCGGAGAAGUGUGGGAGUUCAACUUGUUGGGAUAUACAGUGGCCUGGCCUCAACUGAUUUUCCAAGAGGCAUCAACCUGAGGCCAUGGGAAAUGGGAACAUAGGCAGGGAAACUUAUGUUUAGGUUAUGGUGAGAAGAAAGAGAUCAUGGGAAUUGUUAUGCAGAUUAGGCUGUUCCAAAUAAGGUUAUGUGUUAGUAAUUGGUCACUUGCUUUUCUGUAUGUGGUUACAUUGUUGUUCACAGGUUCUUUGUUCUAUCACCAAGGUUAUAUAAUCUUCUCUUCCCUGUAAUAUUUGUCUUCUGUUGGCUGCCCAUCCCAGGGCUUCAUCCCUGGGGCUACUGUGUACAGCCUUAAUAAAUUGCUUAUUGGGCAAUCACAGUCGUACUUGCUCCUGUAACUUCACUGGUAUCCAUGGUAUCCACUGGGAGCCCCAGCGACGGUCGUCUUGGUUGAGCCGGCGACCCUGUUCACCCUGACCUGCUCCUCAAGUCAGGCUGACCAGACCACGACAGAGGAGGCCAUGCAGGCAGAUGGCAGAAUGAUGGCAGCUGAAAAUCACCUGGCUGACACCAAUUAACAAAAAUACAACAAAAAUUAAGUGACAGAGAAAUUAACUUACAGAAGCAGAAGAGCUUCUAAAUUACUUUUAAACUAAUGAAAAGAGCAAAAAUAGAUUUUCCAGGUCUUUCAAAUACAAAAGAACCUUGGGUGCAGCAUGUUCAGAUAUUUUCAAAACAUCAGGUUGUAUGGGUGUUCGGGGUUAGAUUUGGUUUUUUUUUCUUCUCACAGAAUUUUUUCCCAUAAGUUUCCAAGAAGCCUUGAUGACUACUUAGUCAGAACAAAGAGUACUUGAGAGAUAUAGCAGCACGAGGCUACACCUAUUGUUUAUGAGUCCCUGGGAGUGUCCCUCAGAGGGGAGAGAUGAUGAGCUUUGGGAAAGGCAGAAAGACAGAUCUGGGGGAGGGGGAGGCACUCUUGCUCUCAGCGCCGAGGAGGACGGUCAGGCUGCCCUCUGCCUCUGCCUCGUCCUGGGAAAUCUAUCGUCAUCUGCUGUGUACCCGGGAAUCCUGAGCUCGUUUUCUCCAGCCUCCCCCCACCGCCGCUGCUUCUUCGGAGCUUUGAGGUUCCCCUGCUACUCUGUAGCCCUGCACUGCCCAGCCCUGCCGGGACACCCCUGCUGCUCCAGCUGCCAGUGCAGAGCUCCUCAUCUCAUCCACCGGCCCGGGACUUUCCUCCCUUCCAGUUCGGCCUCUCGGAGUCCUGCAGGGGCACCGAGAUAAAACUGCCCCGGGCUUCCUGUGAAAGCCCUCAAGGUUCUUGGUUCUGUUUAUUAUUGAUGCUCUAGUUGUUGUUUGUUUGUCGUUUUGUCAUAUAUACUAGUAAAGAACUGUUAUUCCUACCCCCAUACCUCUGUCUGAAAGCUCAUUUAAUUUUUUUUUUUUAAAUUGGAAUAAUUUGGAGGGAGGGGAUUUGAAUUCUCCAUCUCUAGGGAGGUCCUGCCCUUUCCUAGCAGAUAUCUGUCUUUCAAACCAAGACAAUGGGUCAAUUACAGUUCUCCAAGGCAUCUGAAAAUAUUCCAGAAUGGAAUGGAUUUGGACAUUCUGUUCUGUAGCAUCACUGUGAACACAGCCAGCUUAUUAUAUUUUUCAGAAUCAUUUCUAUCCACAUGCAAACCUCCUGCUCACACUAUGUUUAUUUAGUAGUGGUGCUCAUCAUUUUCCCAUUGAAUCCUUUAGAAAUAUUUUCUUUCAUGGAUAGAGGCACAGGAGAGAAGUUAAGGAGAUGUAGGAAUUGUGACCAAAUUGAGGAUAAAUUGGGUGAUAAACAUUUGUCCUGUGGUGGUUGGACAGAGAACAAAUUCCUGAUGAUCACAGACUCUAAAAUGGCAGGACUCCUUCCAAAGUCUCUUUUGCAUGCAAAGAUUCCAGAAUAAUCAGAUAUAUGAAGUCAGAGUCAGAAAGUAAAAAAUAAAAAAGCACAAUAAACAAAGAUUUAAUCACUCCAUCCAAUGUGGAGAAAGAGGCCCCAUUCUAAACUCCCUUAAUAUGGAAUUAAUUCCAAGCAUGAGGAAUGUCUCUGAUAUUGCAGUCACCAUUUUUCAGUUUGGAAAUUAUGAGCUGUUCACUCCUCUCUGGGGACUGGGCUUUUAAUCAUACAGAUGUCCACUAUAAAUCCUCUGUUUACUUUGGAGUAUAAUAGGUGAACUCACAGCAUCUUUGUGCUACAAUAAAUCUGCAGGCUCAGACAGAAUGCUCAUGAUUACUUUCUAAAUUCUUUCAAGGUCAUUCUACAUGAUUUCAUGCUACAUAACAUCCUUUCUCAGUCCAUUUCACACUGAGAAAAGAUCAUGAUAAACAUUGAUUUUUCUCUGCUGGUAUUCCUGAAUUCCAUCACAUCACCCCACCACAUGCACACUCUGAUACAUCACAUUUUAGUCAUUCAAUUCUAAGCUCUUGUGUAGAAACUGAAAGUUCAAAAAGCCAAAUAUGCUAAGAAAAAAAAAAAAAGAAGCUUAUUUGGUGCAAUUAUUUGAAGAUUAGAUUGAAAAAAAUACGAAGAAAUGGGUGUUUCUUCCAAUGGGAAAAGCAUUACUGGAAGUAGAUAAAUGCACAAAAAGCCACACUUCAAAUUGCUGAGGAAUUUAAAUGUUAAAACAAAGAGCCAAUUUUAGAUGGAAUGUUUGUUUGACAUGUUUCUAUGAGCAAAUGCUCUUCAUGAAUUAUUCAGCAUCAAAAAAAAAGACAUGAAUGCCUGAAAGAGCACAGAGACCCAGCCCUGCAUGUGGUUUCUCCAGCUUUCUGGCAUGAAAGGAGUGCAGAAGGUGCUAAUAAUACUUCUCUCAAGAGAAAGAGAAUUCCUGCAAGAAAUAUUCACAGGCACAGACAAAAAUUAACUGCUUGAUUUCUACUGAAUCUUAUUGCCUCAGGUGACUCAUUAUCCAAAUGACUUCCUGUCUAUGAAGAGAUUUAAGAUUAAUGGAUUAAAUUCCCUAAAUUCUUGGUGAAUUUAUUAGUUAAUAAGAUGCUGCUAUUUGCUAUUUGAUUAAAAAUUGUUAAGAGUUCAUUUCAUCCUUUUAUAAAGACCAGAAUUAUCUUCUUUUUGUGCAAAUACCCAUUUCUGCCUGCUUUGGGAGGAACAAGAACAAUGUCCCUUGUGAGAAUGUCCUAAUGUGCUACUGCCAUUCCUCAUUAAAAAAGCACAACUGUUUCUGUCAUGGAAUGAGGGAAUCACAGAGAUGGAUAUUCUCAUCUCCUGAGUGGAAAGGACCCACCAGGAUCAUGGAUCCAGACCCUGUCCCUGCCCAGGCCCCCCAACAAUCCCCCCUGUGCACCCCUGGCAGCGCUGUCCAAAGGCUCCUGGAGCUCUGGCAUUCCCUGGAGAGCCUGGGCAGUGCCAGCACCUCUGGGGGGAGCAGAACCUGUCCCUGCUCUGCUCUGAGCCUGCCCUGGGCCAGCUCCAGCCACUCCCUGGGUGCUGUCCCUAGCCCAGAGCAGAGCUCGGAGCUGCCCCUGAAGCCCUGGGGAGCUCUGCCCUCAGCUCCUCUGCUGCAGCUGAACCAGCCCAGUGCCCUCAGCCACUCCUCCAGGCCCUUCAUCCUCAUGGCCUCUUUUGGAAACUCUCUAAUGGCUUAAUGUCUUUUUUUUUUUUUUUUUACCUCUUGGUGCCCAGAGCUGCCCCAGAACUUGGGGGGAGGCUGCCUCAGCCCAGAGGGACAAUCCCUCCAGCCGGCACUGCUGGGCCUCAUCUCCCAGGACAGGGAUGUCCCUCUUGGCUCCAGGGUACUGCUGACUCAGAUCCACCUGGCCAUCCAGCAGGACCCCCGGGUCCCUUCCCAUGGCCACUCUCCAGCCUCUCAUCCCCUGUCUGUCCGUGUAUCCACGCUGCCUCAUCCCAGGUGCAGAAUCCGGCACUUCCCGUGUCGCACCACUGGUGAUUCACAGCCCUCUCAUUUGUCAAGGUCUCUCUGUAGGGCCUCCCUGCCUUCCAGUCAACAACUCCUCCCAAUCGAGUAUCAUCUGCAAAUUUACUUGAUAUUCCUUCAAGUUGUAAAAAUGGUUUGGUAAAAAUGAAAUGGUUUCACUUUCCAUGCGACUACCUUAGGAAUGGGGCUUUACCUGUGGUGGUGUACUACUUACAUGCUGGUUUUUACUCACUUUUUGCCAUACACAAGCAAACUGAUACCAGACCUGUUUGUGGAACAUCUCUCGGUGUGAGGGAAGACACAUUUCUUCUCACCACCCCAUGAAACCAAUCUUUCCACAGGGUAUUUCUCAGCUUUGAUUACAAGUUUAGGAACUCUUGGAGCUGGCACUUGCUUUGUAGAUCAUCGUGUUUAGUAGCAACCAACAGAUUUAGCUAAACCCUUUUUAGAACCCUUUUAUGCUUCCAGGCUCCACAGUUUCUUAUGGCAAUAAACUAAACUUAACAUACUGUGGAAAAGGUAGUUCCUUUUAUCUGCUUGA